GACUGGAAGAAGAACUAAGGCAAGGACAAGCUGGGGGCAUAGUGGUAGGAGAAAGAAAGAAAGCCGAAUUAGAACUGAGCACGGAAAAGACCAAGAUAGUAGUUUUCGAAAAAAGAA